AUGGAGGUUUCGGAAGGUCGUAGAGUUCCUUUGGUCGCAUACAAGCUGAAAGGAGGAGCCGGUGCAUGGUGGCAUCGCGUUCAAGAGGAGCGCGGGCUGAGAGGAGAACCUCGUGUUAGGACUUGGCGACAAAUAAAAGGCCUCUUGAAAGGGAGAUUUUUGCCCGCUGAUUAUGACCAGAUCCUAUUUAUCCAAUUUCAAAACUGUGCUCAAGGAAAUAGGACUGUUUCAGAUUACACAGAGGAGUUUCUAAGGCUACAAGUGAGGUGCAACCUUGCUGAAACUGAAGAGCAACAAGUUCCAAGGUACAUCAAUGGUCUCAAUGAUGCUAUCCAAGAUCGAUUGAUGAUGCAACAAAUCUGGUCCGUUGAUCAAGCACAAGCUCUAGCCUUAAAGGCCGAGAGGUUUGUGAGGAUGAGAAAGACAACUAAGGCUCCAUAUCCUCCAUACCCUCAUACCGAAGGCUCAUCUAGGAGCCAACCUAAUAGAGUGGAAGAGAAGAUCACUCCACCAAAGACAAAACAGCCCAUCCCGAAGCAAACUAGAGGCAAGGGUAAGGCAAAUGAAGGCCCAAAGUUCUAUAAAUGUGGUAAAGAGGGACACAUAUCCAGCGGUUGCCCACUAAGGAAAUUUGUUAACACGACUAUCCAUGAUGGUGAAAGCGAUGAGGAAGAAUACAAAUCUGAAGAUGUAGACGGACAAGAGGUUUGUCAAGAAGAAGGUGAAGAGGUGGUAUGUGUGAUCCGCGUGUCCUAUGUUCCACACCACAACUCGAUGACACACAACGGAAGAAAAUAUUUGAGAGCAAGUGCAUGGUGA
rnacentral:rRNA from 1 species